rnacentral:rRNA from 1 species
CGUUAGCGGCGGACGGGUGAGUAACACGUGGGUAACCUACCUAUAAGACUGGGAUAACUUCGGGAAACCGGAGCUAAUACCGGAUAAUAUUUCGAACCGCAUGGUUCGAUAGUGAAAGAUGGUUUUUGCUAUCACUUAUAGAUGGACCUGCGCCGUAUUAGCUAGUUGUUAAGGUAACGGCUUACCAAGGCGACGAUACGUAGCCGACCUGAGAGGGUGAUCGGCCACACUGGAACUGAGACACGGUCCAGACUCCUACGGGAGGCAGCAGGC